rnacentral:rRNA from 1 species
AGUGAACGCUGGCGGUAGGCCUAACACAUGCAAGUCGAACGGCAGCACAGGAGAGCUUGCUCUCUGGGUGGCGAGUGGCGGACGGGCGAGGAAUACAUCGGAAUCUACUCUGUCGUGGGGGAUAACGUAGGGAAACUUACGCUAAUACCGCAUACGACCUACGGGUGAAAGCAGGGGAUCUUCGGACCUGGCGCGACUGAAUGAGCCGAUGUCGGAUUAGGUAGUUGGCGGGGUAAGGGCCCACCAAGGCGACGAUCCGUAGCUGGUCUGGGGGGGUGAACAGGCAAACUGGAGCGGGGACACGGUCCAGAGUCCGACGGGAGGCAGCAGUAGGGAAUGUUGGACAAUGGGCGCAAGCCUGAUCCAGCCAUCCCGCGUGGGUGACGAAGGCCUUCGGGUUGUAAAGCCCGUUUGUUGGGAAAGAAAUCCAUCUGGCUAAUACCCGGUUCGGAUGGCGGUACCCAAAGAAUAAGCACCGGCUAACUUCGUGCCAGCAGCCGCGGUAG